CCCUUAGAUGUUCUGGGUCGCACGCGCGCUACACUGAUGAAUUCAACGAGCUCCUAACCUAGGCCGAAGGGUCCGGGUAAUCUUUGAAAUUUCAUCGUGAUGGGGAUAGAUUAUUGCAAUUAUUAAUCUUCAACGAGGAAUUCCUAGUAAGCGCGAGUCAUCAGCUCGCGUUGAUUACGUCCCUGCCCUUUGUACACACCGCCCGUCGCUCCUACCGAUUGAAUGGUCCGGUGAAAUGUUCGGACCGCGACAAGGCGGACGGUUCGCUGUCAGCUUUGCUGCGGGAAGUUCAUUAAACCUUAUCAUUUAGAGGAAGGAGAAGUCGUAACA
rnacentral:rRNA from 1 species